GCGGAUGUGGCGGAAUUGGCAGACGCGCAAGCUUCAGGAGCUUGUGGGCUUAACGCUCGUGGAGGUUCGACUCCUCUCAUCCGCA
rfam:Planctomycetes bacterium RBG_13_46_10 RBG_13_scaffold_3983, whole genome shotgun sequence.